AAACCAGACAGUGGUGAGGGAUCAGUUAUCAGCGGCUGAGGGAAAACGAUUGGCACUAUUGUAGGUACGGCAGAUUUGGUUCCGAUGAUCCCGCUUCGGCGGUGACGCCCUCGGGCCGUAUCCCACCAGCGGUCACUUGAUUGUGAAUUGAGGUAAGGAGUAUGUAACUGGUUUUGGAUGUAGAUCAAAAUAAAUUUGGAUUAUUUGAUUGGUUGAUAUAUGUGUCGAAUUAGGACUAAAUCGGGUAAGAUGCUAUGAUUAACCAUGUUUAUUACAAGUCCUAAUUCGAAUGGAUUAGAAACGAUUGAGGAGUUAAAUGAUUCAAUUAGGGUUUAUAAUUGGAUCUGAGUUUAUAUUAGCUUCUUGAGGAUUUGAUUUAGCUAAUUUAUUUAUAUG